ensembl:misc_RNA Y_RNA Y RNA
CGCUGACCUAAUAGUAGUGGGUUAUCAGAACUUAUUAAUAUUAGUGUCACUAAAGUUGGUAUACAACCCCUAACUGCUAAAUUUGACUGACAUUAA